AUAGAAUACUAUCGGACAGGUGCCCGUAUGGGGAUAAUAGGGAAGCCGGUGAACCAGCCGCAUAGGUUCGUAAGCCGGCGCGGUCGCGCCACUGUAGCCGGGGAGCAACGCCUGCAACCUCGCAGGAGCCACUUUCCGGCACUCAGGUCGUAUCGGAACUCGUUCCAAGUGGUAGGUAUAUGUAGAAACCGCAGUUACCACCCGGUUCCUGAAUCGACUUGAGUGCCGGAUGGGAAGGCGCAGGCAAAGCGAGGAUCCGGGAGCCAGGAGACCUGCCUGUUCUAAUUCUUUACC
rnacentral:ncRNA from 2 species